GACCUCAAAUCAGGUAAGAAUACCCGCUGAACUUAAGCAUAUCAAUAAGCGGAGGAAAAGAAAAUAACAAUGAUUCCCUCAGUAACGGCGAGUGAAGAGGGAAAAGCUCAAAUUUUAAAUCUACCUGGUUUUCCCAGGUCGAGUUGUAAUUUGAAGAAGCGAUAUCGGUGUUGAGGUCUGGUUUAAGUUCUUUGGAACAAGACAUCAUGGAGGGUGAGAAUCCCGUGCAUGAUCAGAUCGUGAUUUUUCAGAUACGCUCUCUAAGAGUCGAGUUGUUUGGGAAUGCAGCUCAAAAUGGGUGGUAGACUUCACCUAAGGCUAAAUAUCAGCGAGAGACCGAUAGCGAACAAGUACUGUGAAGGAAAGAUGAAAAGAACUUUGAAAAGAGAGUUAAAUAGUACGUGAAAUUGUUGAAAGGGAAACGAUUGAAGUCAGUCAUGCCAGUGAAAACUCAGUUUGUCGGUAAUCUAGUUCAGGAGUAGAGGCAGGGUCAAACCGUCUCUUUUUUGGACGGGAUUUUUGGCAGAUGGAAUUUUUUUCUGGCAGGUCAGCGUCGGUUUCGGGAGUUGUAAAAUACUUUGGGUAAAGUAGCUCUGCUUCGGGAGAGUGUUAUAGGCCUUGGGGGAUGCAGCCCGCGGGAUCGAGGAUUGCAGCAAAUGCCUUCUGGCUUGUCGCCUGAUCUCUGGAUGUUACCUUGCUUGUGACAACAUUCUUGCCACCUGCGAGUACUAAUGCUCACUAGGUUAGAGCGAUCAAAAAUUUUGCUAAGGAUGCUGACGUAAUGGCUUUAAACGACCCGUCUUGAAACACGGACCAAGGAGUCUAACAUAUGUGCGAGUGUUU
rnacentral:rRNA from 1 species